ACGCACGCUGGCGGCGUGCUUCACCCCUGCCAGUCGCACGGAAAGGCCCUGCUUUUGUGGGGUGCUCGAGUGGCGAACGGGUGAGUAACACGUGAGUAACCUGCCCUUGACUUUGGGAUAACUUCAGGAAACUGGGGCUAAUACCGGAUAGGAGCUCCUGCUGCAUGGUGGGGGUUGGAAAGUUUCGGCGGCUGGGGAUGGACUCGCGGCUUAUCAGCUUGUUGGUGGGGUAGUGGCUUACCAAGGCUUUGACGGGUAGCCGGCCUGAGAGGGUGACCGGCCACAUUGGGACUGAGAUACGGCCCAGACUCCUACGGGAGGCAGCAGUGGGGAAUAUUGCACAAUGGGCGGAAGCCUGAUGCAGCAACGCCGCGUGCGGGAUGACGGCCUUCGGAUUGUAAACCGCUUUCGCCUGUGACGAAGCGUGAGUGACGGUAAUGGGUAAAGAAGCACCGGCUAACUACGUG
rnacentral:rRNA from 1 species